AGAGUUUGAUCCUGGCUCAGAUUGAACGCUGGCGGCAUGCUUUACACAUGCAAGUCGGACGGCAGCACAGGGAAGCUUGCUUCUCGGGUGGCGAGUGGCGAACGGGUGAGUAACAUAUCGGAACGUACCGGGUAGCGGGGGAUAACUGAUCGAAAGAUCAGCUAAUACCGCAUACGUCUUGAGAGGGAAAGCAGGGGACCUUCGGGCCUUGCGCUAUCCGAGCGGCCGAUAUCUGAUUAGCUGGUUGGCGGGGUAAAGGCCCACCAAGGCGACGAUCAGUAGCGGGUCUGAGAGGAUGAUCCGCCACACUGGGACUGAGACACGGCCCAGACUCCUACGGGAGGCAGCAGUGGGGAAUUUUGGACAAUGGGCGCAAGCCUGAUCCAGCCAUGCCGCGUGUCUGAAGAAGGCCUUCGGGUUGUAAAGGACUUUUGUCAGGGAAGAAAAGGCCGUUGCCAAUAUCGGCGGCCGAUGACGGUACCUGAAGAAUAAGCACCGGCUAACUACGUGCCAGCAGCCGCGGUAAUACGUAGGGUGCGAGCGUUAAUCGGAAUUACUGGGCGUAAAGCGGGCGCAGACGGUUACUUAAGCAGGAUGUGAAAUCCCCGGGCUCAACCCGGGAACUGCGUUCUGAACUGGGUGACUCGAGUGUGUCAGAGGGAGGUGGAAUUCCACGUGUAGCAGUGAAAUGCGUAGAGAUGUGGAGGAAUACCGAUGGCGAAGGCAGCCUCCUGGGAUAACACUGACGUUCAUGUCCGAAAGCGUGGGUAGCAAACAGGAUUAGAUACCCUGGUAGUCCACGCCCUAAACGAUGUCAAUUAGCUGUUGGGCAACUUGAUUGCUUGGUAGCGUAGCUAACGCGUGAAAUUGACCGCCUGGGGAGUACGGUCGCAAGAUUAAAACUCAAAGGAAUUGACGGGGACCCGCACAAGCGGUGGAUGAUGUGGAUUAAUUCGAUGCAACGCGAAGAACCUUACCUGGUUUUGACAUGUGCGGAAUCCUCCGGAGACGGAGGAGUGCCUUCGGGAGCCGUAACACAGGUGCUGCAUGGCUGUCGUCAGCUCGUGUCGUGAGAUGUUGGGUUAAGUCCCGCAACGAGCGCAACCCUUGUCAUUAGUUGCCAUCAUUCGGUUGGGCACUCUAAUGAGACUGCCGGUGACAAGCCGGAGGAAGGUGGGGAUGAUGUCAAGUCCUCAUGGCCCUUAUGACCAGGGCUUCACACGUCAUACAAUGGUCGGUACAGAGGGUAGCCAAGCCGCGAGGCGGAGCCAAUCUCACAAAACCGAUCGUAGUCCGGAUUGCACUCUGCAACUCGAGUGCAUGAAGUCGGAAUCGCUAGUAAUCGCAGGUCAGCAUACUGCGGUGAAUACGUUCCCGGGUCUUGUACACACCGCCCGUCACACCAUGGGAGUGGGGGAUACCAGAAGUAGGUAGGGUAACCGCAAGGAGUCCGCUUACCACGGUAUGCUUCAUGACUGGGGUGAAGUCGUAACAAGGUAGCCGUAGGGGAACCUGCGGCUG
rnacentral:rRNA from 1 species